GUUAUCUGGAAGCAUAAGUGUUUCCGAAUGUACUUUGAUUAAUUAAUGGUGGAGUAACAUCAUUGUUUUGGGAUUUAUUAAGAUCGUGUGGAAUAUUUUGUCAAAUAUUUUGUGUAGAAUAUUUUGUGGAAUAUUUUGACAUUAGCUCGAACAAGCGACCCAUUGUAACCAUCACCGAGGACUAUGUUUAUAACCUAAACAGCCUAUGGGUGUAAGUGAACAAAUUAUACAAGAGACACAGUGAAAAUACUUUCUAGAAUAUUCUUUAUUAGCACGAGGAAGGCACGUCUUAACUAGAAGACCGUUGUCCAGAGACUAAAAACUAUAUCAAAGGGAAAACUCUCUCAGGGAAAAGAAAAACAGUUUUAUGACUCAAAGGAACACAGUCCAUACGUUUAGGAUUAAACCGUCUCGAAAGCGGAGUACGACCGAUCGUAAAUUAGUCCCUUAGUAGAGCUGUUUCCCAGAAAGUAAAAGAGGUGUCGAGUGAUUUUUGUAGGACAAUGAAAGAACUGUACUCAAAUAUUCCAACACAGCCCAAUACGUGGACAAACCAAUAGACAAAAUGUAGGAAAUAAAUAUCUCCCACUAUUUAAUUAUACGACACGAUCUAUAUUCAGUUUUUAACAUAUGCGUUUUAGUGAAAGACUCCAUAUGAGUCUAGCUGGGUUGAUAAUCCGAUGUGGUUUACUCGAGAGAACAUUCGAGAGUGUCUCAAGCCUUCGGUUCGUCCAGAGUGAGUGGUCGGACUCAGAGACAAGUGUAGUAUCGUGAAUUUUUACGUAGCUGUUAGUUUUGGGGAAAUACAUUCUUAGAACUUAAUCGUUUUAUUUUGGAGUAGGAUUGAGAAUAGUGAGAUAAAGUUCUUUUGAGUGUCGUGAUAGGUGAUAUUGCAGCUAAAAAUCUGAAUUUCCAAAUUGUGAUAGCUAUUAUUAACCUAGUUCCUGAGAUAUAGCAACUUUUGGAACUUUCGUUUCUCUUCAAUAUUUUAAAAACUGCUACAAGGAUUUUCAAAUUUAUUCUCAAAAUACUUGUCUCAGUGAGCCACAUCAUUUUUCAUAUUUUCAGGCUUUUAUACUCUGUAAUUCAAUAAAAAAUGGAGAUAGCAAGUUAAAAUUUGAUAGAAUCGUUUUACCAAAACAACAUCUCCACUCAAGUUCCUGGGUGGUUUCGGCAAGAUCGUCCUCACAACUCCUAGAAGUGCUAACGCCGCCGAGAAGACCGCUCCCAGGAAGAACUCGGCGAAGAGAUAGAGCCACGUUGUUGAUGAAGGUCCUCGCAAUCUUGAGUUGACGAGCACAGCAUCGCGUAAUGGCAUCAUAACUGUAAAAAUGUAAUUCGCUACAACCACAUAAAUGCCCAUUUAUGACAAGAUAAAAUAUAUCUCAUAAUAUAAAAAAUAUGGUAACUAACACACUCAAUGACUUCAGAAUUGUAAUUAAUGACUCUGCAGACGAUGGGAUAAAUAGAGAAGACAUUUUUUUUGUUGAUUAUAAAAUUCUGAUUGUCCGGGAAAGAUGACAUCGGCGAUUUUUUAAUGAAGUAUUUGCAUAUUUCAAUAAUGCAAGGGAUGAAAGGAUGUGAUGACAGUUUCUUUAAUUUGCGAAAGUGAAUAUUGCGAAGUAGCAAAAACAUAGAACUUAUGAUGAGUCAUUUUUUUACUGAAUUUUCUUAUCCGUAUAAAUUACUUGCUUGAUUGAUUUUAACUCAAUAUCUAAUAAAUAAAAGGGAUAAUGGAUAUUCAAUCAAUUUUAUUUUAUAGAAGAAAUAACGAGGGUUUAUUGUAGAAUUACUUUCGGUUGAAAAUUUUUUCUAAUCUUUUUGUCCAUCUUCGGAAAGUUAAACAAAUUUACUUAAGACUCCAGUCCACCGUCUUGAAUCUACAAUAAACAUCAUUAAUUCUCAACAUUCGAGAAUGUCAUAACCUUAAACCGGAUUUUUUUCAAGUUUAAUCUCGUCGAUAUAAUGAGCCCAACGCAGGCGAUUUGAUUUGCCGAUUUAUUCAUUCAUCUUAUAAAAGCGGAGGUCAGAGCGAAACCAUAAACGAGACUUCUUUACACGUCAGUCGUUGAAAAAAAAUGACGAAAGUAGUUUUUGUCGGGUCGUUGGCACCUGACGUCAGAUGUUUCUCCCAAAAUCAUCUCAGGCCAUCUCCUCGUGUCACCGGACCUUGAGAUUUACAUAUUCAAUCUGGAAUUAUCGGAUGACCUCUGGAAAUUUUCGAUAAACUAAUGACUCGUUCGCUCGACAAAAAUUUUAACGGGCGAGCAAAGGAAUCCUGUUCAACGGGUUUAACGCAUUUUAUAAAUCACAUAAUUUCGUUAGAUCACAGCUAUUACACCUACGACGGUGCUGAUAAAAAAGGUUAAGAUGUGGAUGUGAAAACAAAAUGUGAAAUUUCGUCACAUCGCAAUGGCUGAGGGACCUUAUGCGAUUGACAGACGAUAAUUUUUGGGAUAAAAGGGCAACAAGUGGUGGCCAGCAUCUGCGAUAUAAUUUAUGUCUUGAAAAAUUUAUUUGAAAAAUAUGUAGAUUGAGAGAAAAAUAUAUUUUUGACAAUGAUAUUAAUUUUGGACAAACAAAUACCCGAAAUUUCCAUUAUAAAAUCCACUUAAAUUAAAGAGAAGAAUAUUUAAUUGACAAAAUUAGAUUUUUCUCUCAGUGCACUGCGAAAAAAAAAUAUUUUUGGCAAAGAUAUUCAUUUUGGACAAAUAAAUGCCUGAAAUUUCCAUCAUAAAAUUCACUUUCAAUUCUUGUCAGAGGAAUAUUUAAUUGGCAAAACUAGAUUUUUUUCUCAGUGCACUGUUGGCAGUUCCAUAGAAUAUGAUCAUAAUCUUGUGAUUCUGCAGCUCAAGGACAUUUGGAAUCAUUAAUGAUACCUACUCGACACAAGGAGGCUCCAAGAUGAUGAUGGUUUGCUCUGAUAAUUAAUAAUAGUUAAGGAAUAUUCAAUUAAUGAUUUCAAAAAAGUUUUAUAAAAAUUAGAAUCUAAUUGUGGAUUAACUAAUUCGGAAUUAUCCUCUUCAUUUUCAUUUCUCUUUCACACUUUGUCGUUUAAGAUUCUCUUUUGAAUAACUGAAGAGCCUGCUGUACUGGUAUUGGACCUGUCUAUGUAAUCUAAUUACAGUAGUUGCUUAAAUUACCUUUUUUAUCACAGAGAUUAUUAUUAUUAUAUUAUACACAGAUCCAGGGAGAGAAACUGAUUUUUGACAACGUCUCCUACGACUAAAUUUUCAUAAAAAACAAUUUUACCCUCACACAAUUGAUUUUUCACAACAUGUCCUGUGAAUAAAUUUUCCUGGAUAACAAUUUUUUAUAUGAAGUUAUUGACAAGGGUUUUCUGAACUAAAUUGGAAGAAUUUACGACUAUUUGUAAGUUCCCAAGAAAUAAAACAAUAUGUCUAGAAAUAGGGAGAUGGCUAAAUAUUUUUUAAGAAACCCAAAA